GUGGGGAAUAUUGGACAAUGGGCGAAAGCCUGAUCCAGCCAUGCCGCGUGUGUGAAGAAGGUCUUCGGAUUGUAAAGCACUUUAAGUUGGGAGGAAGGGCAGUAAGUUAAUACCUUGCUGUUUUGACGUUUCCGACAGAAUAAGCACCGGCUAACUUCGUGCCAGCAGCCGCGGUAAUACGAAGGGUGCAAGCGUUAAUCGGAAUUACUGGGCGUAAAGCGCGCGUAGGUGGUUUUGUAAGUUGGAGGUGAAAUCCCCGGGCUCAACCUGGGAACUGCCUCCAAAACUGCAUGACUAGAGUACGGUAGAGGGUAGUGGAAUUUCCUGUGUAGCGGUGAAAUGCGUAGAUAUAGGAAGGAACACCAGUGGCGAAGGCGACUACCUGGACUGAUACUGACACUGAGGUGCGAAAGCGUGGGGAGCAAACAGGAUUAGAUACCCUAGUAGUCC
rnacentral:rRNA from 1 species